rnacentral:rRNA from 1 species
UAGGGAAUCUUCCGCAAUGGGCGAAAGCCUGACGGAGCAACGCCGCGUGAGUGAUGAAGGUCUUCGGAUCGUAAAACUCUGUUAUUAGGGAAGAACAAAUGUGUAAGUAACUAUGCACGUCUUGACGGUACCUAAUCAGAAAGCCACGGCUAACUACGUGCCAGCAGCCGCGGUAAUACGUAGGUGGCAAGCGUUAUCCGGAAUUAUUGGGCGUAAAGCGCGCGUAGGCGGUUUUUUAAGUCUGAUGUGAAAGCCCACGGCUCAACCGGGGAGGGUCAUUGGAAACUGGAAAACUUGAGUGCAGAAGAGGAAAGAGGAAUUCCAGGUGUAGCGGUGAAAUGCGCAGAGAUAAGGAGGAACACCAGUGGCGAAGGCGACUUGCUGGUCUGUAACUGACGCUGAUGUGCGAAAGCGUGGGGAUCAAACAGG